UUGGCCGUUUCUCUGCAUCGCCUCGCCCAACUCUCUCUCUCCGGCCUGAUCCCCAAUUCCAAACCAUCCGGCCCUAGCACCAUUUCCCCCCUCACCUCUCUCUCUCUCGCUCGCUCUCUCCCUCUCACGCCUCUCUCUCUCUCUCUCUCUCUCCAGUCUUCACCUUGCUUCGCCCCCCGCACUCUCUGGCUGCCUCUGUUUCUGCACCCUCUGGCUCUUCCCCCCAUGAUUGGGUACAUCGAGGUCCUCUUCUUGGUGGGAUAAGGUCUGAUCAUAUUUCAAAAUGGAUUCUUUCUAAUAUCAUGGCGCAGCUUCAGCAUGGCUUUUGAGCUUUUCACUUCGAAGAGCCACCAUGGGGGUUGCCUUUGUUUCUCCCCCAUAAUGCAGUAUGUGGGUGGGACUGUCAGUUACUUUGACAAUUGUGACCGAGGCAAGAUGAGCUUGAUUGAGAUAGAAAACUUGACCAUAGAUCUCGAUUAUCAGAAGACUGAGCAAUUGUAUUAUUUAGUUCCUGCGCAGUUAAUGGAAAAGGGACUAAGGACACUAAUAAUAUGGAUGUGUUGAAGAUGAUAGAGGAUACAAGCAGCGCGAGCAAUGUAGCAAUCUAUGUAGAGCAUGGUAUGGAUGAAAUUGAUUUAGAUCUAGUGGAGGCACCCCUGCACUUCCAUCCACCCAGCAGGAUAAAGAAGUAUCUGUUGCUCAUCAUAUUGCACCACAGGAUAGGGUUCCAAAGCAUUGUAGGGAAGAGGAGGAUUUAGUAAAUAUGAAUAUAGAAGAGGGAGGACAUGAAUAAUACAUGAACAAGGAAGUAGGCCUUGUAAGAGGCCUCUAGUAGAACAAGUGCAAGAAGAUAGUGGCGGUAACUUGUCCUUAAGUGACUUCAAGGAAAGUGAUGAGGAUGAUGAUGACCUCUUUGAGUAUUACAUUGAUGACUCCGUUAUUGAGACAUAGGUACAGAAGCAGUAGGAAGAAGAAAUUGGAGAAUACAUUAGGGAAGAAACUGAUGAAGCAGAUGAGUUGAUUGGUAGGGAAUACGAGAUACCUGAUGGUGAUGAGGCUAGAAGCUUGGGUAGGUCUUUAGAAGGAGAAGCUUCAGAAUAUUCUAGGUUUUCAGAGUUCAAUAAGGAAAGUAAUUUUAGCGGACCUAUAGAGCUGAAGCUUGGCAUGCUUUUUUUACUUCAGUGCAUAUAUUUAGGAAGGCAUUGAGGUAGUACUCUAUAUAGGAGGGCUUUGACUAAGCUUACAAACACAAUAAGAGGGCCAAAAUUACUGCAGUGUGCGAGAAGAACUGUGGGCAGAGGAUUCAUGCCUCAUCCCUUGAGGGUAGAGACAUAUCAAAUAAAAAAAUUUGAUCCUACUCAUAAAUGCAAUAAGCAUUUUGAGAACCAUAAUGUCAAUUCCAGAUGGCUACAUGGAGGAUUUCAAGUCUGAUGCCAACUGGAAUAUUGAAAGUUUUAUGGCACGUGUGAGGAGACAAAUGAAAGUACAAAUUUCUAAGGCCUAAGCAUAUAGGGAUAAGAAAAAGGUACUUGUAGCCAUUCAUGGGUCACAGAGACAGUAUGGAAAGCUUUGGAAGUACUGUGACAUCAUUAAGAAGACAAACCCUGAUAGCUCUAUACUUAUGGGAACCUUGCCUAGGAAAGGGGAGCAGCCCAUCUUCUAGAUUGUAUGUUUGCAUUGAUGCAUGCAAGAGGGGGUUCCUAAAUAGAUAGAGAUUUAUUAUAUGCUUGCCACUUGAAGGGUGCCAUGGGAGGGCGACUGCUGGCUGCUAUUAAGAGAGAUGGGAAUGAUGACAUAUAGGAACGAUGGAGGAAAAAGGAUGGACUUUCAUAUCAGAAAAGUAGAAGGUAAGGCUUAGUAUUCAUUUUUUAUCAUAUUAGCCUCACUAAUUAUAAAGUAUUAACCCUUAUUUGUUUGUUAUCUAAUGUUUUUUUUUGCUGGGGUUAGUGGAGACCUUUAACUCCAUCAUGCCAAAUGUCAAUCGUUGAUUUUGUGCGAGGAAUUUGCAUGCCAACUUUUGGAAGUUGUGGAAAGGCAAGAAUUUUAAAGAUGCCCCUAAAUUUUAGGUUAUAAUGAAAGCUAUGGUUGAUUUCGACCUAAACAUAGCCAAAUGGUUUCUUAUGGUGUAGACAUGCAUUCAGCACCAGACCAAGGUGUGGGGCUUAUUUAAUUAUAUCCCUUAGCAUAUUGGCCUCACUAAUCAUACUGUACAAAUUUUUUUUGGUUUGUUGCGAAAUUUUUUUAUAAAUGUGAUAUGAUUUUGAAUAAUAUUUGUGAAUAUUUUAAUAGUUAUAUUAUGGAAGCUGGGGACAAGCCCGUUAUAACUUUACCGAAGACUUUAAGAAGGAUUCUUGUGCAACUCUUUCAGGCCAAGAGACAGGCUGUCAUAGGUAUGGGAGUCCAAUAUGUGCCAAAAUUCAGAAGAAGGUAGAGUUAGCUAAGCUACAUGCCAUGGAUUGCCAUGUUAUUUAGGAUGGUGGUGGCAGUUUUGAGGUUGAUCAUCCAAAUGGCACUUUUGUAGUUGACUGAUAGAGAAGAAUCUAUAGGUGUCAAAAGUUUGAUCUUACUAGAAUCUCCUGUUGCUAUGCAGCUGUAGCAAUUAUGUUUUCAAGGAAGGAGGAAGAGCAUUUUGUAGACUAUUGGUAAUCCAGGGAUAUGUUCUUCAAAGUCUAUGAGCCAGUUAUUAAGCAUGUGCCUGGUAUUCAAAUUUAGGAGCCUUCAGUAUAGUUUGAUCUAGUAGUUGCACCCCCACUGAGGAGACCUCUUGCUCGGCUAAAGAAGUGCAAAAGAAGGGAGGAGGAUGAUGUGCUCAACUCGCAUAAAAUUAGAAGUAGCUCCUCUCUUAGAUGUAGCAAUUGCUUGGAGUCGAACCACAAUGCCAGAACAUGCAAAGAUCCUAAAGGAUAGACCUACUAGAAAACAAAUGGCCCAAAAGGGGGAAGGUUCCUUAAGCCAAAAAGCCAAGGCAACUGGUAGGUCAAGUGCUAAAAGGAGGAGGCCUAGAAAAGAAACAAGAGAGGGGAUAGCUCAUCAAAAGUUCUUAGGCUGCAGAAAAUCCAAGUGUGCCACCUCAGCAGCUGCAUAUUGAAAGUACCUCAAGGAGACAUUUUGGGAUUGCUAGUAGAGAUGUCCCAAGAAACACAUGGAGGGGACAACAUUUCACAACAACAAAUCAACUACAUAAGAGUAGCAGCAAUAGCAGCUUAAACAGCACCAGUAGCAGCAACCCACUAGCACCGCACUAGUAGACUAGUAGUAGCACCAACAGCAACAGCCCAAGUAGCACUAGGAGCAUCAGCUGCAUCAAUAGCAACAUUAGCACCACCACCGGCAGCAACAUCCUAAAGGAUUUAGGCUCUGCCCUCUUAAAAGGCAUCCAUGGAGGAUUUGAUACUCUUCUGUACCAUUUUGAUAUAAUUUUGUUCCUUUUUUUUCGCAUACUAUUUGAUACCAUUUUGUACGGUGGAAUGGCAUAGUUUGUGAUAUUUGGUAUAUGGUACAAUUGAAUAUAAUGGUGAAUGUGACGCUUUCAUAUAAUGGUAAAUGUGAAAUGUGAUACUUUUUUUAGUUGAAUGUAA